AUCCCAAGGCCCAGAGAAGGCGCUCGGAACUGCACCGGGGGGCUUGAGAACGCGACAGCCGUCCACCUGUCUGCCUUCAGACGUCCGGAUCUGACCGCCACUUACCAGGCCUGCCUGGUGCCCAUCGCAGCCUGAUGAUCUGCUGCCCUGGAGAGGGACCCUCCUGGGAGGCGUUGUGCCGGCUCACAGACCACCAGGCCUUGGCAGUUAUUCCAGAAGGAAAUAAGAGCAGGGCUUUACCAGUCACGUAAGCUGAAGUUCUCCCAGCAAUGAAAUGUUUGGGAUGCAUUGAAACAUAUUCCUCGGGCUGCACGUCUUUUAACCACAAGCCUUCUCUGUCAGCCACACUGCUGAGAUGAACACGGUGGUGCUUUGAAGAUGCUGCAUUAUACCCAGAAGGUUCGCUUCACCACCGAAGCCCAGGAAGAGGUUUUCUUCACCCAAGACGGGGAGAUGCCGGCCACGUUUGACAUUAAGAACGCCUCCUCCCAGACCAGGGUGAACAGACCGCGAUGGUUGGACAUUUUGAGCUCAGAUCUCCUCCUGGAAAUGAGCUGCUGGUAAAUGACUGUGCUGUCAUCCGGCAGAAGGACCCUGAGCCAUGAGGGCAGAGAGCCCCCUGAGGACCAGGCCCACAGUUCCUCUCCCCUCCCAGCACCCAGCAGGGAUUGUUACGUUGAACUGACCGGGCACUUGUAAGGCAGACCAUUGACCUACACAACGGUGAGGCUGUUUGCAAAUAAAGCCUUCCAAAGUCAUUCUCUGGCUCCCAAAACAAAAGAACUUGCUAAAGGCAAAGGUAAUUAAUAAAUUAUAUAUGUGUGUGUCUUAAUAUAUAUAAAUAAAUUUUAUAUAUAUAUAAGCUCAUUAAAUGCCACAUUAUAUCUUCAGAAGCAUGACUGAAUAGUUCAGGUUAAGAAAAUGUUUAAAUAUUUUUCCUAUUGGACAUUACACUGUUUUCCAAUUUUUUCCAUUUAAAUACCUCCAUUGUGUUAUAAC